GACGUAGGGGACGAGCGUUGUUCGGAAUUACUGGGCGUAAAGCGUGCGUAGACGGUUAUUUAAGUCGGGUGUGAAAGCCCCGGGCUCAACCUGGGAAUUGCAUUCGAGACUGAAUAGCUAGGGUACGGUAGAGGGAAGUGGAAUUUCCGGUGUAGCGGUGAAAUGCGUAGAUAUCGGAAGGAACAUCAGUGGCGAAAGCGACUUCCUGGACCAGUACCGACGUUCAGGCACGAAAGCGUGGGGAGCAAACAGG
rnacentral:rRNA from 1 species